UACGAAGGGGGCUAGCGUUGCUCGGAAUUACUGGGCGUAAAGCGCACGUAGGCGGCUUUCUAAGUCGGGGGUGAAAUCCUGGAGCUCAACUCCAGAACUGCCUUCGAUACUGGAAAGCUCGAGUCCGGGAGAGGUGAGUGGAACUGCGAGUGUAGAGGUGAAAUUCGUAGAUAUCCGCAAGAACACCAGUGGCGAAGGCGGCUCACUGGCCCGGUACUGACGCUGAGGUGCGAAAGCGUGGGGAGCAAACAGG
rnacentral:rRNA from 1 species